UACAGAGGUCUCAAGCGUUGUUCGGGAUUCAUUGGGCGUAAAGGGUGUGUAGGUGGCGCCGUAAGUCGGGUGUGAAAUUUCGGAGCUUAACUCCGAAACUGCAUUCGAUACUGCGGUGCUUGAGGACUGGAGAGGAGACUGGAAUUCAUGGUGUAGCAGUGAAAUGCGUAGAGAUCAUGAGGAAGACCAGUGGCGAAGGCGGGUCUCUGGACAGUUCCUGACACUGAGACACGAAGGCCAGGGGAGCAAACGGG
rnacentral:rRNA from 1 species